AUUGAACGCUGGCGGCAGGCUUAACACAUGCAAGUCGCGCGAGCGGCGGACGGGUGAGUAAUGUCUGGGAAACUGCCUGAUGGAGGGGGAUAACUACUGGAAACGGUAGCUAAUACCGCAUACCAUCAGAUGUGCCCAGAUGGGAUUAGCUAGUAGGUGGGGUAAUGGCGCACCUAGGCGACGAUCCCUAGCUGGUCUGAGAGGAUUACCAGCCAAACGAGAACUGAGACACGGUCCAGACUCCUACGGGAGCCAGCAGUGGGGAAUAUUGCACACUGGGCGCAAGCCUGAUGCAGCCAUGCAGCGUGUGUGAAGAAGGCCUUCGGGUUGUAAAGCACUUUCAGCGAGGAGGCGUUGCUCGCAGAAGAAGCACCGGCUAACUCCGUGCCAGCAGCCGCGGUAUUUC
rnacentral:rRNA from 1 species